GGAAUUUCUCCUACCCCGUAAACCGUCCUACCCGUUGUUCCUGAGCAUGUGCACGCAUGCGCACAACACAAAAAGGGAAGCUAAGCGCAUCUGGCUAUGAUUUCACGCUACUCCGUUGUCAUAUUUGCAGGAGAAUAGGUAAGUAGUAAGUAUUAGUACUUUUUUAUUGACGUUGAUACUUGAUUUUUUAAGCCUUUGUGAUUGUUUGUCAAUAUUAAAGUGAAGUCGCUAUCUGCUUUCUGCACAAAACUGUCGAAUUUGCAGCUUUGGUGAAGUCUGCUGUCAAGUUACUGGACACGUGGUAUUUGCACAACACUUUUGAGUCCGCAGCUUCGGUGUUUUAAGGCUGUUUCGAUAUGGAGAAGAAGUGGGAAGAGAUUUACGCGUUCAUUUCUGCGGGCUCCUACCCUUCAGGAUAUGACAAGGCUCAGAGGCAAAACCUCAGACGAUAUGCCUCAAAAUUCAAACAAAAGGAUGGAGAACUCUUUGUUGGAACCAGAAGAGUAGUAAAAACCAUGGAUGAUGCCAGGAAGAUAUUUCAUGAGUUUCAUUCAU